rnacentral:rRNA from 1 species
CCAAUAGCGUAUAUUAAAGUUGUUGCAGUUAAAAAGCUCGUAGUUGAAUUUCGGGGUUAAUAAGUUGGUCAUACCUAUGGUAUGUACUGGCUUCAUUGAUUCCUACCUCUUGACGAACUGUGAUGCCAUUAAUUUGGUGUUGCAAGGAAUCAGGACUGUUACCUUGAAAAAAUUAGAGUGUUUAAAGCAGGCUUACGCUU